rnacentral:misc_RNA from 1 species
GAAAUUCUCAAAGUAAAUCUUUUGUUAAUUCAACUGGUUUGCUUUGGACUUGGAGGUCUUUGCAGAUUUCACCUCUGCUCCUCUUAAAUUCAUUAGCUGGAUCUCAGUAUAUGCUUGGUUCCACUCGGCGUGAUAAGUAUCACUCGCUGAGGACACUGUAAAAAGUGGCCAGGAAAUGCAGAUGAACCGCUUCUAACAGUCUAUUAAGUUAGACAAUUAAUUUAAGAUCUGAUCUCAAAUCAGGUAGGACUACCCGCUGAACUUAA